rnacentral:rRNA from 1 species
UACGUAGGGGGCAAGCGUUGUCCGGAAUCAUUGGGCGUAAAGCGCGUGUAGGCGGUUCGGUAAGUCCGCUGUGAAAGUCGGGGGCUCAACCCUCGAAAGCCGGUGGAUACUGUCGGACUAGAGUGCGGAAGAGGCGAGUGGAAUUCCUGGUGUAGCGGUGAAAUGCGCAGAUAUCAGGAGGAACACCAGUGGCGAAGGCGCCGCUCUGGGCCGUGACUGACGCUGAGGAGCGAAAGCGUGGGUAGCAAACAGG